rnacentral:ncRNA from 1 species
CCGAAAGCUUUGAAAAGAAGAGUACAUGUCACCGACGUUUGAAGAGAGCCCUGUGUGCUGAGAAAGGGUAACGAACAUGAGAUGGAAGAUGGUCUUUGAGCAGAAUGAGUGAGCGAAAGUGAACUUGUUACGGGAGCGCCCGUUAAAGCGCAGCAGUAUGCGAAGCAAAUUUCAAGUACUGAACGAGGUUAUUGUUGUGAAAGAAUAACGAAUCAAGGUGGUAACACGAAAGUCAGACUUUCGUCCUUUUU